rnacentral:rRNA from 1 species
GAUGAACGCUGGCGGCGUGCUUAACACAUGCAAGUCGAACGGGAAUUCUUUUAUUGAAACUUCGGUCGAUUUAAUUUAAUUCUAGUGGCGGACGGGUGAGUAACGCGUGGGUAACCUGCCUUAUACAGGGGGAUAACAGUCAUAAAUGGCUGCUAAUACCGCAUAAGCGCACAGAGCUGCAUGGCUCAGUGUGAAAAACUCCGGUGGUAUAAUAUGGACCCGCGUUGGAUUAGCUUGUUGGCAGGGUAACGGCCUACCAAGGCGACGAUCCAUAGCCGGCAUGAGAGGGUGAACGGCCACAUUGGGAAUGAGACACGGCCCAGACUCCUACGGGAGGCAGCAGUGGGGAAUAUUGCACAAUGGGGGAAACACUGAUGAAGCGACGCCGCGUGAAGGAAGAAGUAUCUCGGUAUGUAAACUUCUAUCAGCAGGGAAGAUAGUGACGGUACCUGACUAAGAAGCCCCGGCUAACUACGUG